CAGGAAACAGAGAAGGACAAUUAGUAGAAGACAUCAUUUGAGCCCCGCCCAGGAUUAAGCCAAACUAAACUAAAUGCCCUGGGGUUGAUUCCUCUGUCAUUUGUUUUGCUUAAGCUAGUUGGAGUUGACCUUCUGUCACUUGAAAUGGAAAGAGAUUUAACCUAAUCACAGUUACCUUGCUGAAAUUCAGAAGAACCAGUCGGCAAAAUGACACAGGAACCAGAUGAAAACGCCAGUGGGCGGCACCCGAAGCAGCAGGAAAGAAGAGAAAGGUGCUCAAAGGCCAAACCCUCAGUACCAGAGACUUACAGCCAUGACCUCAGAGUCCAAGGAAAGUGGCUCAGAAGACGUGCUAAUGGAACAUGAGAAAUGCUGUUGCAAAGGCCCUUGACAGGCGCGCCGGGAGACGCCUAAAAAUAGGCAUUUCACCCCAAGGAGAGUUAUCUGUUAGAACUGCAUCAUUCUCAGCAUGGCUGAGCAGCACAGACUGUGACACCGGGGCAUGAAAAAUAUAGUAACGGGCGCUAUGACAAAUUCUCUGUACUUAGAACAAGAGGAGAUAAACUGGGCUGUGACUAAGCCACUCGCUUUGAAGCUUACUUCCAAUUUUCCACGUAGCUCCUACCCAGCUAUCAAGAUGCUGAUUUGGGAAAGUGAGGGGAGAGGAUGGGGCAUGUCUGACAUCACCUUAUCCCUUCCUGGAAGUAAAGGAGUGGCGUAGAAAGUUUAUAGACCUCCAGCAAGUUACGAAAUUUCUCCGAGCCCCUCAGUUUUCGUUUGGAAAAUAGAGGUGGUUGUGAAAACUAAAACUGAGAAUGUAUGAGCCCCGGGCUCAGCCCGGAGGAGGCCCUCACUCAACAACUGUGAGCAUGUGCUGAUUUGAGGAGACAGCUUUCCAGGCAAGGUCGACCCAGAGUGCUCGAGGGGAAAUUCUGCCUCUCAAGAGCCUGUCAGGACUCAAAUCUCCUCAGACUCAGUUAUUUUAUCCAUUCUGUGAGUCCCUAUCCAGCCUGGUCAUGAAUGUGGGACAGCAGGGACUUCUGGGGGCAAAAAUUAGUGAAGUCCUUUUGCAAAGCGAUUUGGUAGCACUUAAUCCACAUCCCUCCACCACCAAGUCCACCUCCAGGCAUCUGCAAUCUCCACUUCUGGGGGUCUGCAGUGUCCUCCCAGGAGUCUACAAUCUCCACUUCUGGGGGUCUGCAGUGUCCUCCCGGGGGACUGCAAUCUCCACUUUCGGGGGUCUGCAGUGUCCUCCCGGGGGUCUGCACAAAAAGGUACGAUAAUGAUGCUGGAACAAUGAUGCUGCAAGAGUUGCUAAUCUUAAUGGAGCAUUUAAAAAGUUCUAAAGCCUUUAUGUGUAACUUAAACACAUACACUUGACACAUUAUAAUCUGGUAUAUUCUACAUGUGGUAUUUAUUUGAUAUACAUUAAAUAAUUGAACCUUACAAAGUAGGUUUUAUGAUUAUUUUACAGAAAAGAAAGUGGAGACAUGGAGAGAUGAGUAAUUUGCCCUAGGUCAGGGGUCAGCAAAUGUUUUCAGGAAGAGGCCAGAUGGUAAAUAUUUUAGGUGGGCCAGAUGGUUGCUGUCACAACCACU